rnacentral:rRNA from 1 species
UACGGGGGGGGCAAGCGUUGUUCGGAAUUACUGGGCGUAAAGGGCUCGUAGGCGGCCAACUAAGUCAGACGUGAAAUCCCUCGGCUUAACCGGGGAACUGCGUCUGAUACUGGUUGGCUUGAAUCCGGGAGAGGGAUGUGGAAUUCCAGGUGUAGCGGUGAAAUGCGUAGAUAUCUGGAGGACACCGGUGGCGAAGGCGGCAUCCUGGACCGGUAUUGACGCUGAGAGCGAAAGCCAGGGGAGCAAAGCAGG